AUGGAUUUAACUCCCCGGAGAAAAGGAAAAAAGUCUUUCAUUUAUUGAAAAAGGAACAAUUGGACUUGAUUUGCUUGCAGGAAACACAUGUGAUAAGGCUUCAUAGGAAAGUAUUGAUUAAUAAAAGAUUGGGUCAAGAGUUUAUUUCAUCGGACAAGGUUAAAAAGAGAGGAGUAGUAAUUUACGCGAAAGAGAGCCUAUCACCGAAAUUUAUUUUUAAAGAUGACCAAGGAAGAUAUGUGGCAAUUGAAAUCCAAACACAAGGAGAAAAAUUUUUGAUAGUAGGAGUAUAUGCAGCAAAUGUGGGGUAAUCUGAAUUUUUAAGAAGUUGCAUGAGACAUUGUUAGACUAUAUGGAUUACAACAUUAUCAUGAUGGGAGAUAUGAAUGGAGUGGUAUCUACAAACAUGGACAAGUCGCAGAGACAGGUAGUUACCAAAGAUGGCAGACUACCAAAAACCUUUUUUGAGAUGACUGACAAUAUGGACUUGAUUGACAUUUGGAGAAUAAAGAAUCCCUUGGGCAGAGAGGGAACCUUCUUCUCUGAAGCCAAAAUGACAUGGACAAGAAUUGACCAAAUCUGGAUAACUAGAGGACUGGCACCUAAGACUCGAAAAGUGGAAAUUUGCCCUAAAACUUGCUCUGACCAUAAUGCUGUGAAAAUGGAGAUGAAAGUAACACCUACCGGUUCCUUCAGAUGGAGGAUGAAUGACACCUUGUUUAGAGAUCAAGAAGUUAACAAGAAGGCCCAAAAAACCUUGAGAAACUAUUUUGAGAUAAAUAUAAACACUACCAUCGAAAAAAGAGUAAUCUGGGACGCAAGCAAAGCAGUUAUGAGGGGGUUUCUAAUUCAACAGAAUGUAAUAAAGAAGAGAACUCAAAAUGAGAAAAAGAUAAAAUUUUGGAAAAAAUAAAAGAGGGUGAGAAGAAACUGAGAGCGAAACCAAAGUCACAAGAGAUUCUGAGAGAAAUAAAGUUAUACCAAGUUCAAUAUAUGAAGAUGAUGAAUCAGGAAAUAGAAUGGAAAAUUAAACAGAUGAGACAAAGGACAUUUGAAUCGGCCAAUAAAUGUGGAAAACUGUUAGCUUGGCAAAUAAAAAAAGACAAAAACUUAACACCAUUACCAACUUGGAAGUGGAAGGAAAGAACAUCCAGAAUCCAGUGGAAAUUAGAAAAUGCUUCCAGAGGUACUUUAAACAGUUAUAUACACAAGGGCCACAGAAAGAGUUUGAUUUAGACCAAUUCUUAAAAACAAAUGGACUUCAAAAAAUCUCUCAAGAAAAUAAGUUAAUGUUGAACUACAAAAUAACAGAACAGGAGGUGGAAGGUGCCAUCCAGAACAUGCAGUUGGGCAAAUCUCCAGGGCCAGAUGGCUUAACCUCAAAAUAUUAUAGAUCCUUGAAGGAUUGGAUAAUUCAACCACUAAAGGAGGUUUGUAAUGAAAUUUUGGAGGGGGGAAAAGCGCCAGAGUCGUGGAAGGAAGCUUAUAUUACACUAAUACCGAAAAAUGAGUCUGAAAAGACACAACUUAAGAACUACCGCCCCAUAUCCCUGCUUAAUGUGGAUUAUAAAAUUUUUGCAGAUAUUUUGGCUAAAAGGUUAAAAAAAAGUAUUAGUGGAGGAGAUACAUAAAGACCAAGCUGGCUUUCUCCUGGGUAGACACUUGUCUGACAACACGAGGAAUAUAAUCAACAUUUUGGAGAUGUUGCAAGUGAAUAUUAAUACUAAAGCUGUUUUAAUUUUUGUAGAUGCGGAGAAAGCCUUUGAUAAUAUUUCUUGGAGUUUCAUGAAGAAAAAUCUUCAGGGGAUGGGGGUUGGUCAAGGGUUUGAAAAUGGUAUAAGUGCAAUUUAUUCAGAACAAAAGGCUAAACUAAUAGUUAACAAUGUGGUGACAGAGGAAUUUAAGAUAGAGAAAGGGACACGACAAGGCUGCCCAAUUUCCCCAUUGCUUUUUAUUUCGGUCCUGGAGGUUCUGCUAAAUAUGAUCAGAAGGGACCGUCUGAUCAAAGGUAUACAGGUCGGAGCCAAACAGUACAAAUUGAAAGCUUUUGCAGAUGAUUUAGUAUUGACGUUACAGGAGCCAGAAUCUAGUACUAAAAGAGUAUUAGAAUUGAUUCAGGAAUUUGGUCAUGUGGCAGGAUUUAAGUUGAACAAGUUAAAAACUAAGGUGCUUGAGAAAAAUUUAACACCGAUUGAGAAAGAGAGGUUUCAGAAGGAGACAGGUUUAACAUUGGUUAAGAAAGUAAAAUACCUGGGUGUUAAUAUGACCGCUAAGAACUUAAACCUAUUUAAAGACAAUUAUGAGAAAUGUUGGUCAGAAGUGAAAAAGGAUCUAGAGAUAUGGUCAAACUUGAAGCUUUCCUUGUUAGGUCGAAUUGCUGUUAUAAAGAUGAAUGUAUUGCCAAGAAUGUUAUUUUUGUUUCAAUCAUUGCAAAUCUUGGACAAAAUGGACUGUUUCAAGAAGUGGCAGAGAGACAUUUCUAGAUUUGUCUGGCAGGGCAAGAAGCCCAGAAUAAAAUUUAAAAUAUUAACUGAUGCAAAGGACAGAGGUGGAUUUGCCCUGCCAGACCUUAAACUUUAUUAUGAAUCAGCAGCAUUCUGCUGGUUGAAAGAAUGGCUGCUUCUUGAGAACACAGACAUUUUGGAUUUAGAAGGUUUCAAUAAUGUUUUUGGGUGGCAUGCAUAUUUGUGGUAUGACAAAGUUAAAGCAUAUAAAGCAUUUAAAAACCAUAUUAGGAAAGCAUUGUUAAAUGUCUGGAUAAGAUAUAAGGACUUACUUGAAAAUAAAACCCCAAGGUGGUUGUCACCGAUGGAAGCAAAGGCUCAGAAAAAGCUCAAUAUGGAGGCCAAAUGGCCGAAAUAUUGGGAAAUUUUGGAACAAGAAGGAGACAAAUUGAAAUUGCAGAGUUUUGAGAAAUUAAAAGACAAAGUGCGAGACUGGCUUCAUUAUUAUCAGAUAAUGGAGGCAUACAAUUUGGACAAGAAAAUUGGCUUCCAGGUGGAAAAAUCAACAUUAGAAACAGAACUGUUAGAACCCAAAACUAAGAUUUUGUCAAAGAUGUAUAACUUGCUGUUGAAAUGGAAUACUCAGGAUGAAACGGUGAAAUCUGCUAUGAUUAAAUGGGCACAAGAUGUUGGACAUAACAUUAUGUUUGCUGACUGGGAACAGUUGUGGACUACAGGUAUGAAAUUUACGGCAUGUAAUGCCCUAAGAGAGAAUAUUAUGAAAAUGAUAUACAGGUGGUACAUGACACCAGUCAAGCUUGCAAAAAUCUAUCAUUUGCCCGAUAAUAAAUGUUGGAAAUGUAAAGAAAACGAAGGUACAUUCUUUCACCUUUGGUGGACGUGCCCAAAGAUUAAGGCUUUCUGGGAGAUGAUCUAUAAUGAAAUGAAAAAGGUAUUUAAAUAUACCUUUCUAAAGAAACCAGAGGCCUUCCUGCUGGGCAUAGUCGGCCAAUUGGUGCCAAAGAAGGAUAGAACUUUCUUUAUGUAUGCUACAACAGCAGCAAGAAUACUUAUUGCAAAGUAUUGGAAGACACAAGAUCUACCCACCUUGGAAGAAUGGCAGAUGAAGGUGAUGGACUAUAUGGAACUGGCAGAAAUGACUGGCAGAAUCCGAGACCAGGGAGAAGAGUCAGUGGAAGAAGAUUGGAAAAAGUUUAAAGACUAUUUACAGAAAUAUUGUAAAAUUAAUGAAUGUUAGAAUGAUGUUGGAUAGAAACUAAGUGGUUUUUAGCUGUAAUGUUAUAAGGGAAUAUGAAAAAAAUGGACUAUUAAUAGGUAAAAAUCUAAUGUUACAAUACUUUAAGAUUGAAGACUAGGAUAAACAAAGAGGGGAGGGAUUUGCUGAACUAACAAACUGAAUUGGAAUACAGAAAAGGGAGGCGUGAGGAGGUCCGGGAAAUAAGCAAAUGAAAGAUAAGUGAUUGAAAGACUGAAUUGUUUUUAACUAUUUUUAUUUUGUAUUUUUAUUUUUUCUUUUUUUAUUUUGUAAUACUUUGAAAAUCUUAAUAAAUAUCUUUUUUUUAAAAAAAAUGAGGGGAAUCCAGUGAUCUAGUUAUUCUCCCAGUAUUCUCCCAGUUAUGCUGGCAACAUCGCCCCCUCUCAUCCAUAGAUGGAGUUAAUGUACCACAGUUUUUAGUGGGAGCAGGUGGCACUGUGGUCUAAACCACUGAGCCUCUUGGGCUUGCUGAUCAGAAGGUUGGCAGUUUGAGUCUGCACAACAGGGACUCCUGUUUCUCUGUCCCAGCUUCUGCCAACCUAGCAGUUUGAAAGCACAGCAGCGUGAGUAGAUAAAUUGGUACCACUGUGGCAAGAAGAUAAACGGCGUUUCCGUGCGCUCUGGCACUUGUCAGUGGUGUCCCGUUGCACUGUAAACUGUUUAGUCAUACUGGCUACAUAACCUGGAAAGCUGUCUGCGGACAAACACCAGCUCCCUCAGCCUGAAAGUGAGAUGAGCGCCGCACCCCAUAGUCAAGUGUGACCGGACUUAACCCUCCAGGGGUCCUUUACCUUUUUUACUGAAAGGAGGUGUGUAGGAAUUUCCUUCGAAAAGAAAUAUAUUGUUUGGCCUCUACACACAAAGUUCAUUCUGCAGGCUUGCUUUUUCUUGCCUGUUGCAACUUCUUGCUAGUGCCUAAUUGAUCUAUUGGGCUAUUUUUUUUCUCUUUAAAACUGAGGCAAUCUUGUAUUUCUCUGCUAGUAUACUUUGUCAGUUAUGGAUACAAUUACUGUAUAUACUGUAUAUACAGUAUAUAUACUGUAUACUGCUGCUCAACCAUUUACAUGCCCUUUCUACUGCUAUCAGUUAAGAUCUAGAGAAACUUUAUUCCUUCAGGGGAGCAGAUAGAUAGCGCUUCAUAGGUAAUCUUUACCAGUUCCUGAGAAAUGGAAAGAGUGCUGCUGCAAUUGGGAACUGCUUGCAGGCUUCCAAGAGGUGUCCUGACUGGCCACUGCGAGGAAAGGAGAGUGGAUUAGAUUGGCAAUUGGCCUUUGUCUUGAUCCAGAAGAGUUCUUUUUACAUUCUACAAACUUCAGGUAACUUACUUUCUCAGGAACAUCAAACAAAAUAUAUUACUACAGAAGAGAGCUAGUUGCGAAAAUAAAAUUCAAGGGCUGAAAGAAUUUGGGCCAAUGGUAAAAGUGUGGUGAGCUGGCAAUUUGUUCCCUUCUUUACACCAUACCUCUCUAGCAUUGUUUCAAAUGGUCUGUCCCCCAGUCCUUAAGGGUAGAUAUGGGCAGGGCAGGGGCUAUGGAAGAAGAGGGAAUGGACAAGAACAGACUUUCCAUUCCACUGAUGGAAACCUUCACUGGAUCAAAGAAGGGCCUUCCAUCAGAGAAGAGACACCAUUUGAUACAACCCAUUGUCUCCAUUUCAGGUGGCUACAUAUUUGGCUGAUAUUCCUUAAACUGUGAACUACCAAAGAAAUUGUUUCAUUUUAUCAUUUAAUUAUCUCAAGUCUGUCACGGUUAGAAACAUUUGUUUUUAGAAGAAAUAUUUCCGCAAUUUAGGAACGUGCUGUUUAUUCAUACCAAUGCUGUUUUGAUACAACAGAGAUCUUUUGUGUCUGGGGCAUCUACUAUGAUACCAGGAAAAGGAAACGAUGAAAGGCAGAGCAAUGCAGCCAGUAACCCUUUUCUUUCAGACUUGUACCUUCCUUCCACUUGUAUCUUCCUUCCAUUAUGGUUUUCCUAACAUCCAGGCCAAAACCGGAAGUCUAGUUCAAUUACCUUAACUCCAGCUACCUCCUUCAUUGCCACAGGAUUUUGUGUGUGUGUGUGUGCCUUGUCACAGGCACCUGGCUGGAUAGGACCCAAGGCAUCAACAAAGGCUGCACUGCCCUCCCCAUUUUGCUUAUGGCCUUUUAAAGAAUUUGUUCUGCCUUCCUUUGUUUGCAACCUGAGUGCAAUCUCUCAGAACCCCUGCCCUCCAUCUUAGAACUAAGCAUCCUGUUCUCUUUUUUGGCCCAGUGUUUGCUCAAUCUGUGUUCCUGCACUUGAAUGCACAUUUCCAAUUAAGAAGACAGAGGAGGAGGAGACUUUGACCCAGGUGGAGACUUUCUUCCCUGCAAACAUUUCGCCUCUGUUUGUCUGACCAGUUUAUCUUGCUGUCAUUGAAGAAUUGACUUGAGCAAUGAGCCUGUAUGCAGAUGCUUAUUUCUGUGGAGCGAGAGUCAUGACCUCCCUCCUUAACUGAGGCUGGCAAUUUUACUCUUAAAGGAAUCUUU